CUGUUAGGUUUUAUGCAACAGGCUCUUUCCAGCAAUUGCUAGGCGACACAAUUCAAGCAGACAAAUCUACUAUAUCUAGAAUAAUCCAAAAAGUAACUCUAGAAUUGUGUAAACUGGCUGAAACAUUUAUUAAAAUGCCAUCUGAUCAAGAACUUCAAAAUGUUGUAGAGAAUUUCUAUGAACUCGCAGGAUUUCCGAGAUGUGCAGGUGCAGUUGAUUGCACUCAUAUCAAAAUUACAAGUCAGGGUGGAAGACUAGCUGAAGUAUUCCGCUGUCGAAAAGACUUUUUUUUCAAUAAAUGUGCAAGUGGUCUGUGAUGCGAAAUUAAAAAUAAGGGACAUAAUUGCUCGGUGGCCUGGAAGUGUGCGCG
rnacentral:misc_RNA from 1 species